AGUGGAGCGGUGAAAGGCUCAGUAACGGGCGAUUUAUGGACUCCUGGGACGGACAACAUCGGGAAACUGAUGGGAAAACGUCUAAGUUGCAGUUAGAUGAUUGUGACGUAAACCAUAUGGUGCAGGAGAGUAAGAUGCCAUCCUAUCAGUUAGUAAGUAGGGUAAGUGCCUACUUAGACGAAGACGGGUACGGGGAAUGAGGGUUUGAUUCCGGAGAGGGAGCCUGAGAGAUGGCUACCAGGACCAAGGUCAGCAGCAGGCGCGAAAAUUAUCGAAGCCCGCCGAGGGGCGAUAGUGAGGAGACGUGUAUAACGAAGUGCGUGUAAAGAACGUGCUAAUAACUGGAGGUCAAGUCUGGUGCCAGCAUCCGCGGUAAUUCCAGCUCCAGGGGUGUCUAUGAUGAUUGCUGCGAUUAAAAAGUCCGUAGUCAAUCUGACUGACUGGCCUGCAAUGUGAUUGAUUAAAGAACGAGCAGGGSUAGGAAAGCAGARAAUUAGGAGCGACCGAGGGCUAGAGUAUUGAAUGGCGAGAGGUGAAAUUUGAUGACCCAUUCAGGAGUGACAAAGGCGAAGGCACUAGUCAAGGGCGAAUCCGAUGAUCAAGGACGUAGGCUAGAGUUUCGAAAACGAUUAGAGACCGGAGUAGUUCUAGCAGUAAACUAUGCCGACGCCGUGGUAUCUAAUUUUACCAGG
rnacentral:rRNA from 1 species